rnacentral:misc_RNA from 1 species
GCAAACUUGGUCAUUUAGAGGAAGUAAAAGUCGUAACAAGGUCUCCGUUGGUGAACCAGCGGAGGGAUCAUUACCGAGUUUACAACUCCCAAACCCCUGUGAACAUACCUAUCGUUGCUUCGGCGGGAUCGCCCCGGCGCCCCCGUGCCCGGAUCCAGGCGCCCGCCGGAGGACCCCAAACUCUUGUUUAUCCCCCCGGGAUGUAUCCUCUGAGCGGUACAAGCAAAUCAAAUCAAAACUUUCAACAACGGAUCUCUUGGUUCCCGCAUCGAUGAAGAACGCAGC